AUUGAACGCUGGCGGCAUGCCUUACACAUGCAAGUCGAACGGCAGCACGGGAGCAAUCCUGGUGGCGAGUGGCGAACGGGUGAGUAAUGUAUCGGAACGUGCCCAGUCGUGGGGGAUAACGCAGCGAAAGCUGUGCUAAUACCGCAUACGAUCUAUGGAUGAAAGCGGGGGAUCGCAAGACCUCGCGCGACUGGAGCGGCCGAUAUCAGAUUAGCGAGUUGGGGGGGUAAAGGCUCACCAAGGCGACGAUCUGUAGCUGGUCUGAGAGGAGGAACGACCACACUGGAACUGAGACACGGUCCAGACUCCUACGGGAGGCAGCAGUGGGGAAUUUUGGACAAUGGGCGCAAGCCUGAUCCAGCAAUGCCGCGUGCAGGAUGAAGGCCUUCGGGUUGUAAACUGCUUUUGUACGGAGCGAAAAGGCUUUCUCUAAUACAGGGGGCUCAUGACGGUACCGUAAGAAUAAGCACCGGCUAACUACGUGCCAGCCGCCGCCGUAA
rnacentral:rRNA from 1 species